rnacentral:rRNA from 1 species
AAGCCAGACUCCUACGGGAGGCAGCAGUGGGGGAUAUUGCACAAUGGGGGGAACCCUGAUGCAGCGACGCCGCGUGGGUGAAGGAGCGUUUCGGCGCGUAAAGCCCUAUCGGCAGGGAAGAAGGAGGACGGUACCUGACUAAGAAGCCCCGGCUAACUACGUGCCAGCAGCCGCGGUAAUACGUAGGGGGCAAGCGUUAUCCGGAUUUACUGGGUGUAAAGGGGGCGCAGACGGCAGCGCAAGCCAGGAGUGAAAGCCCGGGGCCCAACCCCGGGACUGCUCUUGGAACUGCGCGGCUGGAGUGCAGGAGGGGCAGGCGGAAUUCCUGGUGUAGCGGUGAAAUGCGUAGAUAUCAGGAGGAACACCGGUGGCGAAGGCGGCCUGCUGGACUGCGACUGACGUUGAGGCCCGAAAGCGUGGGGAGCAAACAGGAUUAGAUACCCGUGUAA